UAGGGGUGUUACAGAAAUGUUCUCUGUUUUAUAGUAUUAUAAAGCUAGCUCAGAUCCAAGAAUCAUCAGCGAAUCAUUCACACUAUCAGACAUAUAUUUUGGUACCAUUUUAAGAGUUCUAUAUAUGGUAUAUGACAUGUAUAGGCUAGUGUCAUUUUGGUAUGUAUUGUGUUGUGAAUAUUAGACAUGAGUUUUGACUUGAAGAUGUUGAUAUGUAUGGCCUCUUAAGUUGGCUUAAAUGGUG
rnacentral:lncRNA from 1 species